UCCACAGAGAAAAAGAAACAGUUUGAAAUGAAGAGAAAGAUGCACUACAAUGAAGGACGAAACAUCAAACUGGCAAGACAGCUCAUUGCAAAAGAACUACAUGGUGAAGAAGAGGAUGAUGAUGAGGAUGAAGAAAUGCGUGAUGCUGCAGAUGUAGAAACAAUGAAUACAGAAGCUACUGAACAUGACUGAGAUAUCUUGCUGAUUGAAAUGAAGAUGGCCAGUCCAGUCAGUGAUGCACAUGCUACUCAUGACCAGCUGGAAAGUAGAGCACACAGCAUAGAAGAAAUCUGUCCAGAACUGUAACUGCUUGUCAAAGACACAAAUACAAACAUCGCUUCAUGAUUUUUGCAACUAAGGCUCUUAAAUAUUGAGAAGUAUAUCAGUUACAAUGUUGUAUUGCCAAGAAUGUUAAUUUUAGACUUGUCCAUUAGGCAGAAAAACCUGUCUAAUUGAUUUAUUCUUGUGCCUAGUAUUUCAUGGAGAAUACUGCUUCAUAAUCUGUUCAACCAGAAUGGCAUUCCCUGUAUGUAUAAUGCUGAUUAUCUUGCAUAAUGUACUGUUAACUCUUCAUGCUUCAAAACCAACGGUAUCUUUUGGUUUUUCACUAUUUAUUUGACAGUGUUCUAGGUGUGGUAUCUCUUAUGGAAGGGUUUGGGAUUCAAGAGCCAAACGGUACAGCAUAUAUCAGAUUGACAUGCAAGCUAUUUAUCAGAUGUGUUAAGCAGUUUAAAAAGGGAUUAUUUAAGUCUUACAACUUUUUUGUAAAAUGUUGACCUGUUAAUCUAGAUUUCAGUAUGUUGUUACCUGUACUUUCCCAGUCUUUACAAGAAGAGCUGUAUUAUUUUUAAGAGUGGUGUUUGGAAUCAGUUGCUAGUUUCUGACUAAGGCAGUACUAACGUGUGGUGGAGGGAAUGUUUUUACACUGGAAGUGUGCUAACUUGAACUUGCAUUUAAGUGUCAUUAUCUCUUCCGUUGGGACUGGAUGUUUUGUGGAGUGCUCUUUGGCUUAUCAUGAGAACAUGGAAGUUCCCUCCAACUUUUCUCUUAAAACCACAUCCACUGUCAGUCUUCUGGCUCUUGUUUCAAACUUUUGGUCCUUGCCAGUUGCAUGAAGAAUGCUUGUGCUACUAGCACCUGAGGAAAAACACCCAAACAUGAGCAAAUCCACAUCAGGACUGUGAAGAUGAGCUGAGUUAUAAAGAUAACUGCUGAUGAUCUCCUACUCAUUUGGGGUUGGUAACCUGCAUACUGAAAACCACUGGUCUAAAUCUUCCUGUAUCCAUUGCAACUUAGAGCAGCUGCUUUUGUAAAAUGAAGGCUGUUUGGAAGAAUAGAAGGGAAACUGCCUAAUUCAAAUACUUGUUUACAGUGUGGUUGUAUAGCCCCUGUAAAGAGGGAUUCUGAACCUCCAAAUUGCUGUAAACAACUUCCUACUUGGUGGAAUUUGAAUGGUGAAUGUUCCAGUAUUCAGAGUAGUUCCUGGGUUUUAUUACACAAAUUAAGUAUACACUUAAGCUUUAGCUUGGUUAUGGAAUACAGUGUAUAUCUUAACUUUGAUCUGAAUUUGAUAUGUUGCAAAAAUCCAUAUAAUUAUAUGGAUCUAUUUUAAAAUGUCUUUUUGUCCACUGUAUAUGUGAAGUUUGAAUAAAGGAAUGAAAGUUAUUUUACAGUUAUA